UCAAAACAAAGGAUAAAGGAUAUGAGGAGGACGGAUUAAAUGGAGCACUAGAUCCGACUGAUUGAAGAGAAGCCUGACCUCGAGACGAGACUAGAUUUGAUUAUCAUGUUUAUAGCUUUAGUCCUUCAUGCCUUAG